UGCCGUUCCCGUUCCAAAGCCUCUCGCUCCUCUCUUUCUUCCCGCUCCCGCUGCUUCUGGGCCACCAGCUCCAACAUCCUGUGUUGCAGAAAAGAAAGAGCUCAAAAGAAAUGGACAUAGAUCGAGAAGACUUUUUAUGUAUUCGUUUUGAGAGAGACAGUGGGAAAACAGCAGGGGAGAAGAGCAGAGGGAGAGGGAGAGGCAGGUUUCCCGCUGAGCAGGAAACCCGAGGUGGGGCUCAAGCCCAGGACCCUGAGAUCAUGACCUGAGCCGAAGGUGGACGCUUAACUGACUGAACCACCCAGGUGUCCCAUACUGCAUCUUUCAUCUACUUUCAGUUGGUAUGUUUCUGAGGAUUCCAGAUCUUUGGGGCCCUAAAGAACCCCAUUUUGGCUCCACUCUUAGACUUUCCCCCAAAGCUGGACACGCUCAUCAGAUAUAUCGGGUGUCUGUCUGGCUUGGUAAACUGACACCUCUUCCCUAUCCU